UGGGGAAUAUUGCACAAUGGGCGCAAGCCUGAUGCAGCCAUGCCGCGUGUGUGAAGAAGGCCUUCGGGUUGUAAAGCACUUUCAGCGAGGAGGAAGGGUUCAGUGUUAAUAGCACUGUUCAUUGACGUUACUCGCAGAAGAAGCACCGGCUAACUCCGUGCCAGCAGCCGCGGUAAUACGGAGGGUGCAAGCGUUAAUCGGAAUUACUGGGCGUAAAGCGCACGCAGGCGGUUUGUUAAGUCAGAUGUGAAAUCCCCGCGCUUAACGUGGGAAC
rnacentral:rRNA from 1 species